rnacentral:rRNA from 1 species
GUCCACGCCGUAAACGAUGGAUACUAGCUGUUCGGAGCAAUCUGAGUGGCUAAGCGAAAGUGAUAAGUAUCCCACCUGGGGAGUACGUUCGCAAGAAUGAAACUCAAAGGAAUUGACGGGGGCCCGCACAAGCGGAGGAGCAUGUGGUUUAAUUCGAUGAUACGCGAGGAACCUUACCAGGGCUUAAAUGGGAGACGACAGUUUGGGAAACCAGAUUUUCUUCGGACGUCUUUCAAGGUGCUGCAUGGUUGUCGU